ensembl:ncRNA C33F10.24 ncRNA
UCCCCCCUGAGGUGUCAAGUGGCAACAAUCAAAUUUGUGUGUGGAUGUGUGUGUGCACUUGCCGCCUUCGAAUGUAUACUAUCAUAAUUCUAUUCUCACCUCUCCUUACCCUCUCUCCCGACCCAUCUUUUAUUGUCAUGUUCCCCU